GAUGAACGCUGGCGGCGUGCCUAAUACAUGCAAGUCGAGCGGACAGAUGAGGAGCUUGCUCCUCUGACGUUAGCGGCGGACGGGUGAGUAACACGUGGAUAACCUACCUAUAAGACUGGGAUAACUUCGGGAAACCGGAGCUAAUACCGGAUAAUAUAUUGAACCGCAUGGUUCAAUAGUGAAAGACGGUUUUGCUGUUACUUAUAGAUGGAUCCGCGCCGCAUUAGCUAGUUGGUAAGGUAACGGCUUACCAAGGCAACGAUGCGUAGCCGACCUGAGAGGGUGAUCGGCCACACUGGAACUGAGACACGGUCCAGACUCCUACGGGAGGCAGCAGUAGGGAAUCUUCCGCAAUGGGCGAAAGCCUGACGGAGCAACGCCGCGUGAGUGAUGAAGGUCUUCGGAUCGUAAAACUCUGUUAUUAGGGAAGAACAAAUGUGUAAGUAACUAUGCACGUCUUGACGGUACCUAAUCAGAAAGCCACGGCUAACUACGUG
rnacentral:rRNA from 1 species